AAAGCAUGAGAAGUUAGAGCGAGAUCGUACUCAGCAGUUAACAAAUUUGAUCACUAAUUGUGUAAACAAGGAUUUACCAAGCACUUUAGAUAAAACUUUAAAGAAGGAGAUAGCUGCAGUAGGACCUGCUGUAGCUCGCGCAAUUACUCCCAUUCUGGAGAAAAGCAUAUCAUCAGCGAUUACAGAGUCAUUCCAGAAAGGGGUGGGGGAGAAGGCUGUGCAUCAACUAGAGAAAUCAGUUAGUUCAAAACUUGAAGGCACAGUAGCCAGGCAAAUUCAAUCACAGUUUCAAACUUCUGGCAAGCAAGCUCUUCAGGAUGCACUAAGAUCUAGUUUGGAAGCUGCAAUUAUUCC
rnacentral:misc_RNA from 1 species